AACCCAGUUGUUUUCUUCUCUGUUUUCCAGCACAGGUGUUUUUAUUUGCACCAGCCCUAUAAAACAUUAUAUACACUGCCCUGAUUAGAAGCGUGCCUGGAUAGAGAAACACCUGAGCUAUGACUUCUUGGAGCAGAUCAUCCUGACCUGAGACAAGACUAUGGUGACUGGGGACAUCCUCAUAGAUGACACGCCGGACAUCCUAGGUGUAGAGCCCAACCUGGGAGCACAUCCUGUUCACUGCCUGCCACAACAAAAACGUAACCCCCAGAUCCAGCCAGCGCCUGCUCUCCUGGGCCGAUGAUUGGAGUGCCAUCCUGGAGAGCAAGAGGCACUGCACCCUUAAGCACACACCAACCUCCCCUUCUCCACCCUGAUGACCUACACUACAUUGGGGUUCAACUGCUAGAGUGAAUACCUCCACUAACUUGUCCAACUUGAAGUUAAGUGAGUAUUAAUCUGUUUGACCACUAGGGGGCACACAUAGACUGAAGCGUGAGGUAGAAAUUUGUGGUGUGCCGAUCUCAUCCUACUCGUAUUCGUAAUCGUAUCCGUUUUAUCACACAGCAUACUCGUAAUCGGAUUUACUCGUGAUCGGAAAACACAGAAGUGCGCUUUAAAUGCUGGUAAAGCCUAUACCUUCAGGGCGCAUUACUGCGCUAUCACUCAAAUGUGCAUCGUUAUGCCCCUUCACUCAUUCAUGCACACAUUGUUAAAUGACCCAGACAGAUGCAAAUGCACAUGAUUUACUUACUUAGUCCUAUUCAAUUAUCAACGAAACAGGCUAAUAAAUAGCCUAAUGCAUGACUGGCUACUAUUGCCUGCAUUUAUUCCAGACACAGGUUUAGAUGAAGGUAACGCUAGGCUAAUUCGCUUCCCCAUAUAUUGUUUCACUUUCGAGAGGAGCAAAACUUUUCCCUCCCGACACUUAUGCCACAACAUUUGUGCAAUCAAAAUAAACAAUCUACAUUUGUCAUUUUAUUUUCGACUGAUCUGUUGCUCGGUAAACUUGUCUGGGCUAGAGUAAAUAAUAAUAGCAAGCAAGCGUGGGUUUGGAUCACGAUUUAAUGACAGACGUCGUCAGCGAUGGAAUAUAUGGACAGACAAAGUAGGCCUACUAAACAACCGUAUGGCCUCAGCAAAGUCGACAGGACAUAACUAGCUAUGGAUUCUGAUUCAUACGCAAUGUUUGGAGGAGGGGAGUUUUCGAUCACAAAUAAUUACAAAAAAAUACUUAUUUUUUUCAUAAUCGUAUUUGGAAAAUGUAUCUCUAUUACGGUACUCGUUUUGUCCGAGUACUCGGCACAUCACUAGUAAAAAUAAUGAAAAUGAUUUUACUGUUUUGACUGUUUUCAGAGUUUACUGUUUUUACACACUCGUUAUAGUUGUUCGGGUAUCUAUUAUCAGUUGUCUGUCUGUAUGGUUUUGGAAAGUUUUUCAGCCUGUAUUUUGACAAUUUGGGAGAAUAGAGUAUAAUUUCAAAGGGAUAAAAUUAUCCAUUUUAAAAGUGGUCUAGAGUUGUUUAGUGUGGUGUGCACUUUAACCAUCGAUUAAGCACCAUUCCUUAUCAACUGACAGAGAGACUUACUAUCACUCCACCCAAAGGCACACAUCAUUGCAACAUGUUUAAAUAGUCACCACUGUCAAUCACCUGGAAUAUAAACCACACGCAUAAACAUUUUGUAUGUUGACAAGGACAUUGGCCCGAGGACCAUAGGGCUCUGUUUUACAUGUACUGUAUGGGAAUGACUCCAUAUUGUAAAUGUUGUUUUCCACCAUUGUGCCAACAUACUGUAGAUCAAAUGGUAGCAUAUAUAUAUUUUUUCAACCUAGUUUAGGUCGAUUUUAUAGAGGGUUACAUAAAUUAAUAUGUUUUCAAGCUGCACCCAUAGCUUAUGUAAUU